CCUACGGGAAGCAGCAGUGAGGAAUAUUGGUCAAUGGACGAGAGUCUGAACCAGCCAAGUAGCGUGAAGGAUGACUGCCCUAUGGGUUGUAAACUUCUUUUAUAUGGGAAUAAAACGUUCCACGUGUGGGAUUUUGUAUGUACCAUAUGAAUAAGGAUCGGCUAACUCCGUGCCAGCAGCCGCGGUAAUACGGAGGAUCCGAGCGUUAUCCGGAUUUAUUGGGUUUAAAGGGAGCGUAGGUGGAUUGUUAAGUCAGUUGUGAAAGUUUGCGGCUCAACCGUAAAAUUGCAGUUGAAACUGGCAGUCUUGAGUACAGUAGAGGUGGGCGGAAUUCGUGGUGUAGCGGUGAAAUGCUUAGAUAUCACGAAGAACUCCGAUUGCGAAGGCAGUUCACUGGACUGCAACUGACACUGAGGCUCGAAAGUGUGGGUAUCAAACAGGAUUAGAUACCCCUGUAGUC
rnacentral:rRNA from 1 species